AACCACUGAGCUAAAUCCCCGGCAUAAGUGUGUUGCUCUUUGUUCUUUUUGUAGUGCUGGGGAUCUAAACCAAGGCCUUCCAUGCCGACCCUUACUGAAUUUUUUUUUGAGAUGCUAAUUUGCUAAGUUGUCCAGGUUGGGCUCAAACGCUCCAUCCUCCUGCCUCAGCUUCCCAUAGCGGUGGGAUUACAGGUGUGUGUUGCCUUUCUGAAUCCUCUCAAAGGCCCUGUGAGUCACACACUAGGGUUAUUUACAUUUAAUGGGAGAGGAAAAUGGAUUUGGGAGGUUAAACUGCUUGUCCUACGUGCUUGGUUCCAAGCCGAGCAGUUGGGUUGCAGCCUCCCUGCUUCUGCUGCUCUUGCUGGUGGAGCAACCACAGUGGGGUCCUAGUUCCCAGUCCCCUGGCUCCAGAAGCCCAGUCUCUGUCCCGGGGCUCCUGGUGCAUAGCAGGUGUGCGGCAAUGUUCUGGAUUCUUCGUUCAGCUACUCUCUGUGAAUCAACUGCAGGCUGUUUCCAGAAGAGAAGGGUCAGGGAUUUCUUGUCACCAGUGGAGGCAGCUGAUAGAAAAGGAAUCCUGUAGAAACCAUCUUUCUGUUUGUGAAAAAGGAAGAGAGAAACAGGGAGCCCAAGAAGCGGGGUGCACCGUAUCCUCAUUUGUAUGAGGCGGGGAUGAGUAACUCUCAUUGAAGAUGUAGCGACACCUCUAGGUGCCAGACUCCAUAGCGACGUGGACAGGGCCACAGCGUCUGAACUCAAGGACUCCAGGUAGGGGAGCCUGGGAGGCGAAACACAGCAAGGAGAAAGUGUGUCACGUUCUCAGUCCAAGUCAUCUGAGAGGAUGCUCACACGUGUGUGCGAGCCAGUGUGGAUUUCUGUGAGCGUGUGCUUGCUCUCUGAGUCUGUGUGCUUAGUCAGUGUUCGUAUCCAGACAAUUUUUCUAAAGGAGCAGAUUGUAUGAGUCAUCUCUUGCCGCGUAACAAGUGACCCAAACAGAGUGGCUUAAAUCCACACGAAUUGUCAUUUCAAGGUUCCUGGGAAUGACGGCUUGGCUGAGCGCUGCUAUUACACAGGCUGCCAGCAGGCUGGGCCCUCGCAGGGAGUCUCUGCCAGGGGGGAUCCAUUUCCAAGCUCACCCAUGUGGCUGUUGGCAGAAUUCUGUUCCUUGCAGGCCACCAGUGUGAGGCUGCCCUCCUCCGGGUCUCACAGGCCUCUCCGUGGGACAGCUCACACCCUGGCAGCUGCCCUCCACCCGACCAAGUGUGCUGGAGCCAGACAGUGAGCAGGAUGGGCAAAGUCUGGUGGCCUGGUUUCCAAUGGGCAGCUCAUGGCCUCUGCUGUCCUUGAUUUGUUACCAGCUCACAUUCUGGAGGAGGGGUUUCCAGGAGGGUGUGAGUCUCAGGGCGGGGGAUCUUCCAGGGACGCCUAGAGACUGCCCACUACGCUGAGACAUUGGGCCAAUAUUUACAGGUGACCAGGAGAUAAUCAGGUGAAGAGAGGAGCAGGCAGAGAGGCCAAGAGAAGCUGGCAAGCACAGCACAGCCAGGGAAGAAAGCAUGCUGUGUGAGAAGGACCGGGUGCCCCGUGGUUGCUGUGUGUGUGUGUGUGUGUGUGUGUGUGUGCGCAAAAACACACAUUUGGUUACAGGAGACCAGAGAAGAGAGACAAACAUGAGCCUGCAUUUGCCCGGAAGGGGAGAACAGAUGGCCCUGGGUGAGAGCAGAAACGUCUAGAAGCGACACAGUUGCCCCAGCACACCGUGGCUGGCAAUGGGGCGGAGGCAGGGAAACGCUGUGGAGAUGCCAGGAACCCUUGCAGGCGCUUCGGACGCGCUGGGCCCUGGCCGAGAAGCGCACAUCUCCGCACCAUUCGCUCCCGCCGCCCUGCAGCUCUUGGUCACAGCGGUCUCUCCGGUCAGUGCGAGCUGUGGCCCUGGCCCCAUCGAGGGAGGCAGCGGGAAGCUGCUGAAGGGUCCUGGCAGUGACACGGGGGUCAGGGAACCCACAUCUUCCUGCUCCGAAUGUCUACGUCCCAGCCAGUGAGGCCCAGACGGGGCCAGGACAGCUGGAUCGUGCGGCCGAGACCUGGGAAUGCUCGGAGGAGUUGGAGUAAAGUCAGAGGCAGAAACCCCCAGCCCUCAGCCUCCCUCCACUGCAGUUUGUGAGGAGGCCGAGGGGCUGUGUGGCGGGGUCAGGGCCCCCGCACCGUCUUCCGGGGAGGGCAGCAGACUGAGCUCAGGCAGCCACUGAUCAGGUCUGCCACCGCCUGUGGCCCCAAACGAGGGCCCCUUGGGAGGGCAGUGCUGCUCCUCCCUCAUGACCAGCGUGGAGGAAAACGCUCUGCACUCAGCCCCACGCUGGCAGGUAAAGGAACUCUCUUGCCAGCCAGAAGCCUGAAAACGGUAACUGAAAUAUAUUCUUCCUUCAGGCUCCUUCUCUUCGUAUGGGAAAAGCUGAAGCUGUGUGAUCAGCAAUGCUCUGCUGGUUUGUGCCGUAUCACAAGCCUGGACUUCCCCGGAACACCGGACACGGGCCUCCCAAAAUCAGGACGCGAGCUGGGUGUGGCGGCACGCACCUGCAAUCCCAGCACAGAGAGAGCGUUGACAGCUGCUGUCCCAGCCGAGGCGGGGAGGGAGGCAGUAACGCCGUAACGCCAAAGUGGGCCGUGGCCCAAGGUGGUUCCGUGUCAGCCGGGUACCGCGGGGCUCUGGGUGGGAGCUGCACGUGGGCCUUGCGCGGAGCUGGUCUCACUUUGAGGACCAGACGGGCACCUCCAGGUGAACUACUCACUGCCGCUGGACAGGAAGUGGGGCUCCCUUUAGGAAAAAGGCGAUUUGCUAGAGGAGCGGGCAGGAAGGAGCCGUGAGAAGCCAAGUCUCACACAGCCACGGUAGGCAGGUGUGGGCACACCCGGUACGGGGUGCUGGCAGGCUCCCACGCCUGUGCUUCAGUCUGAAAAGGUGAAGCCACGGUGCCCUUGCUGCUAUUUCUAAGCAGCCUUCUGUGGCCUCACAGCCUGUGGUGGGGGCAGGGGCUGGCCUAUGACUCCUUUUCACAUCCACGUCCCGGGCACAGCCAGGCAGCAGAAACGAGAAGGUUCCCGAUCUUUUGCACAGUGCUUCCUAUCUUUGGGCGCAAAUAAAAGCAGCCGGAGCUUUGCCCAUACAGAGGCCAGAGGGAUGAAAGCCCUGGGCGUGGCGAAGUGAGAGAAAUUGCUGUGAAAAGCGCUUUGCCAUAAAGCAGGGGAAAGGAUGUUACCGGACUGUCCCCGGGGAAGCGCGGGGCCUUGGCGACUCAGCAGAAGACUUUGCUUGCUCAUGCCUGGCAGUGAGAGAAGCCUUUUUUACCUUCAUAGAUGAUCAAGUUUCAUGUUCAAUUCAUCGCUUUCCUCAACGUUUAUUUUGAAGCAUUUCAAAUCUCUUGAAAAGGCUCUGAUGGAGGAUGCAGACUCUCAGUCCCUUGGGAUCUUUACUAAGGAUAUGAACAUUUAUAAAAGCAUAUGACACUGCACACUCAGGUGCAUGGGGCCUUGUUGCAGGACUGGAAGAGCACUUGAGCUUUUGUCUUUUCAGCCCAGAGCUUUCCUGUUGGGAUCAGGGAAGAGCGACAGAAACAUUUAAUGUUGGCAUUGGACGCAGGCUUCUCAGGAGCGAACCUCUGGGUCUCUGUGGCCCUUGCAAAGUGCAGAGAGCGCCCAAGAAUCCAAGGCUCCAGAGUGGGCUCGGCACUGAGGGACUCCGAGCAGCCUGGAUGUGCACACGUGAUCUGCGGUGGCUGAGGGUGGCCCCGUAACCCGGAGAAUCACGGUGCCCUGCUACUCUGGACCUGGUCGCAGAGCUAGGGUGCAGCUUUCGUGUAUGCAUGCGCAGUGACAGCAGCCGCCUGGCGCUUUAGGUGCGGGUUUUGCUGCCUGUCAGGGACGGGGCUGGGGUUCAGCGUUUGCAGCCAGUGCCCAGAGAAUCCCCAUGACCUCAACUGUGUUUGAGUAGGGAGGCUGUAGUCCACUUCAUUUUGCCACAGCCUAAAGAUCCUAGUUUGGGGGCGGGGGAUUUGGCUCAGUGGUUCGGCUGCCUGCCUUGCAAGUGCGAGGGCCUGUGUUCGAUCCCCAGCACCUCCAAAAAAAAAAAGAUCCUACUUUGGAUUCUGCCAGCCCGCAGCAGGGCUUCUUCUGGGCAUUUUGGGACUUUAGGUCACACCAGGAAAAGAAAUCCCGCAAGAAGAGCAAGGCCCAGACACCUUCUUCACAAUGGCUCCGGGCCACAGGAGGUCCUGUGUCUGGCACAGGCCAUCUGGGAUAGGGGCGGGGCAGCCAGGAGCGAUUCAGGCCAAAGCUUAUCUUUCAAAGUAGGAAUGGAAACGAAGCCCUUUGUUCCUUCACAUUCUCCUUACUGUCUUUCUCACCUGGGGGGACCAUACUCCCCAAGGGGGCUGGCAUGUUCAGUCACGUCUUUGUCCGCUUCACUGUGGACAGAGUUUUUCAUUCUCCAUGCAGAGUGAUCUACCUGAGUAUUCUGGUAAGAAGGAGCCACACUGAAGCGCUUCAUCAGAGUCUCCCUGAGAUGGACCUUCUGAGAGGAGAAAUGAACACGUGCCUCUGAGCUCUGUGGACACCUGCGAAGCAGGCAGUUUGUAUCAGGUAGCUACUGCUGCAUGACGAGCAGCCCCAGACUUCGCUGUUUCAAAUUGUCCUUUAAGCCAUUUAUUGUCUCCAUGUAUUUCAUAACAUUGUGUUGCAAACCUUAAAUUUGUACAAUUAAAUUUAUUUUUAA